rnacentral:tRNA from 1 species
UCCCCUGUGGCUCAGUUGGUAGAGCAUGGCGCUUAAAAGCACCAGGGUUGUGGGUUCGAUUCCCACGAGGGAC